rnacentral:tRNA from 1 species
AGGGUAUUAGUUCAGUUGGUUAGAACGCUACAUUUGGGAUGUAGAGGUCGUCCGUUCGAGUCGGACAUACCCUACCA